AUUGAACGCUGGCGGCAGGCCUAACACAUGCAAGUCGAGCGAGCGGCGGACGGGUGAGUAAUGUAUGGGGACUGCCCGAUAGAGGGGGAUAACUACUGGAAACGGUGGCUAAUACCGCAUACUAUCGGAUACCCCAUAUGGGAUUAGCUAGUAGGUGGGGUAAAGGCUCACCUAGGCGACGAUCUCUAGCUGGUCUGAGAGGAUGAUCAGGCACCCUGGGACAUGGGAACGGGCCAGGCUCCUACGGGGGCAGCAGUGGGGAAAAUUGGACAAUGGGGGGAAGCCUGGUGCAGCCAUGCCGGGGGUAUGAAGGAGGGCUUAGGGUUGUAAAGUACUUUCAGCGGGGAGGCGUUACCCGCAGGAGAAGCAACGGCUAACUCCGUGCCAGCAGCCCCGGUAAUUC
rnacentral:rRNA from 1 species